rnacentral:rRNA from 1 species
CCUAGGGAGGCAGCAGUGGGGAAUAUUGGACAAUGGGCGAAAGCCUGAUCCAGCCAUGCCGCGUGUGUGAAGAAGGCCUUCGGGUUGUAAAGCACUUUCAGUGGGGAAGAAAGCCUUGGGGCUAAUACCCUCGAGGAAGGACAUCACCCACAGAAGAAGCACCGGCUAACUCCGUGCCAGCAGCCGCGGUAAUACGGAGGGUGCGAGCGUUAAUCGGAAUUACUGGGCGUAAAGCGCGCGUAGGCGGUCUGAUAAGCCGGUUGUGAAAGCCCCGGGCUCAACCUGGAAACGGCAUCCGGAACUGUCAGGCUAGAGUGCAGGAGAGGAAGGUAGAAUUCCCGGUGUAGCGGUGAAAUGCGUAGAGAUCGGGAGGAAUACCAGUGGCGAAGGCGGUCUUCUGGACUGACACUGACGCUGAGGUGCGAAAGCGUGGGUAGCAAACAGGAUUAGAUACCCCAGUAGUC